GGUUCUUACUUUAGCAACAAUGUGCUAAAAUCAGCACAGCACGGAUGAUUAGCAUGGCCCCCAUGCAAGGAUGACAUGAAAAUUAUUUAAACACUCCAUAUUUUU
ensembl:snRNA U6 U6 spliceosomal RNA